UAAAGUUGCCAGUAUCAAUAACACCAUAUUCAAAAAUCCAGUGUAUAGCAUGUUAUUGAUAAUGGCGAUUAUAAACUACAUUGUCAUUCUUUUGGAGCAAAAGAUUUGUGUGGAAGUAUUUAUAGAUUCAUUUUUUAAAAUUAAAUUUGAUGGUCUCGUCUUGGGUUCUUGCAGUUUCCGGCCAUACUGCAGCUUGAGGAGGAAAUAGAUGAUGUUAGGACAGCUGCUAAAGUCAGUCUUGUAGAGUUUGAAAAAGACGUAAAGAAUUUAAAAACCGAACACAAAACAGUUGAAAAGGAGUCUGAUUAUCAGUGUAAAAAGAAGGGUAAAUGAUCUGGUGAUGAUUUCCUUCAAGAAACUGUGGCUUUUCUCACAGCUGCACGAGCGUCGUUCAAUGAACUUGAUGAUUCCUGGAAGAACAUGAAAACAAGAUAAGAGAAAUCUGUCCCGGCGUUUGAUGAACAACCGAAGACCAUUACCUCGGAAAACUUCUUUGGCAUUUUAUACACAUUUUUAGUAUCUUUUGCCGUAAGUCUCUUUUUGUAGAUUUAGUUCUUUUCAACGCAUGCGCAGUAGAUAUAAAUUAACAGUAAAUUGACAGAACUGAAACUUCGUUUCAGGAGGCGAACAAUGAGAA